ACAAAAAGAAAAAGAAAGGAAAAACAAAAACAACAAGAAAAAUCUCAAGAGAUCUUAUUUGUCGACUUGUUUUCUUUGGUUUCUU
rnacentral:ribozyme from 1 species